AAAUGCGUGAAAACUUUGAACGAUGAUCAGCAUAAGGUGUAUUUGGAAUUCUACCUCGAAACCAACUCAAUAUGCCAUCAGUUGCAGGCUCGCGCAUUUAAGUUUGAAACAGAGAGAAUUGUGAAUGAACUUUAAAAUUCAGCUCAGUAUGCAGAAGGCAAGUUGGAAAUAAUUGAAGAGAAGGCAGAGCAUCUACUGCAGGGGUCAAAUCAAAUAUUUGAGUCUUUGAAUUCGAUUGAUCUUCGAACACAGCAAGUUGCUCAGACUGCACAUAAUGUGGAAGAUCAUAUAGAUGUGGUGUUGAAGCAUUCCGCAACAGUUUAUGAGCAAUCAAGGAAAAUCCAAGAUUCUCAAUCUGAGCUGCAAGAAGGACAAGUAGAAAUGAAGAAAAAUUUGAAGGAAGGAAUGGCAAUGUUGCAGGAUUCAUACAGCCAUUUGGGACAAGAAAUCGAUAACUUGAAAAAUGAAGCUGUUGAAGUUGAAAAAGAGAUAACCAAAGUCGGAGACCAAAUGUCGUCUAGGAUGGAGAAUCUGCAGGUCAAAGCAGAUGACAUUAGGAAUAUGGCAGGGCUCUC